UGCAAGUCGAACGGUGAAAGAGAGCUUGCUCUCUGGAUCAGUGGCGAACGGGUGAGUAACACGUGAGCAAUCUGCCCCUGACUCUGGGAUAACAGUUGGAAACAGCUGCUAAUACCGGAUACGAGCUUCGAAGGCAUCUUCAGAAGCUGGAAAGAACUUCGGUCAGGGAUGAGCUCGCGGCCUAUCAGCUAGUUGGUGAGGUAAUGGCUCACCAAGGCGUCGACGGGUAGCCGGCCUGAGAGGGUGACCGGCCACACUGGGACUGAGACACGGCCCAGACUCCUACGGGAGGCAGCAGUGGGGAAUAUUGCACAAUGGGCGCAAGCCUGAUGCAGCAACGCCGCGUGAGGGACGACGGCCUUCGGGUUGUAAACCUCUUUUAGCAGGGAAGAAGCGAAAGUGACGGUACCUGCAGAAAAAGCGCCGGCUAACUACGUGCCAGCAGCCGCGGUAAUACGUAGGGCGCAAGCGUUAUCCGGAAUUAUUGGGCGUAAAGAGCUCGUAGGCGGUUUGUCGCGUCUGCUGUGAAAACUGGAGGCUCAACCUCCAGCCUGCAGUGGGUACGGGCAGACUAGAGUGCGGUAGGGGAGAUUGGAAUUCCUGGUGUAGCGGUGGAAUGCGCAGAUAUCAGGAGGAACACCGAUGGCGAAGGCAGAUCUCUGGGCCGUAACUGACGCUGAGGAGCGAAAGGGUGGGGAGCAAACAGGCUUAGAUACCCUGGUAGUCCACCCCGUAAACGUUGGGAACUAGUUGUGGG
rnacentral:rRNA from 1 species